rnacentral:rRNA from 1 species
GUGAGUAAUGCUUGGGAAUCUGCCCAAUAGUGGGGGAUAACGUGUGGAAACGACUGCUAAUACCGCAUACGCCCUACGGGGGAAAGCAGGGGACCUUCGGGCCUUGCGCUGAUGGAUAAGCCCAGGUGGGAUUAGCUAGUAGGUGAGGUAAAGGCUCACCUAGGCGACGAUCCCUAGCUGGUCUGAGAGGAUGAUCAGCCACACUGGGACUGAGACACGGCCCAGACUCC